rnacentral:rRNA from 1 species
GAUUACUAGCGAUUCCUACUUCAUGGACCCGAGUUGCAGACUCCAAUCUGGACUACGAUAGGCUUUUUGAGAUUCGCAUCACAUCGCUGUGUAGCUGCCCUCUGUACCUACCAUUGUAGCACGUGUGUAGCCCUGGUCGUAAGGGCCAUGAUGACUUGACGUCGUCCCCGCCUUCCUCCAGUUUGUCACUGGCAGUAUCCUUAGAGUCCCCGGCCAAACCGCUGGUAACUAAGGAAAAGGGUUGCGCUCGUUGCGGGACUUAACCCAACAUCUCACGACACGAGCUGACGACAGCCAUGCAGCACCUGUAUUCUAAUUCCCGAAGGCACUCCCGCAUCUCUGCAGGAUUCUAGAUAUGUCAAGACCAGGUAAGGUUCUUCGCGUUGCAUCGAAUUAAACCACAUGCUCCACCGCUUGUGCGGGCCCCCGUCAAUUCAUUUGAGUUUUAACCUUGCGGCCGUACUCCCCAGGCGGUCUACUUAUUGCGUUAGCUGCGUCACUAAGGAAUCAAGUUCCCCAACGACUAGUAGACAUCGUUUACGGCGUGGACUACCAGGGUAUCUAAUCCUGUUUGCUACCCACGCUUUCGAACCUCAGUGUCAGUAUGAUGCCAGGAGGCUGCCUUCGCCAUCGGUAUUCCUUCAGAUCUCUACGCAUUUCACCGCUACACCUG